AGCUUUGCACAGUGGCAGUAUCCAAUGAUGUUUAUCCAAGGCAUGAUGAUUGCUAAUUGAAACCUUUCCCAAUGCCCUACCAUGACGACUUGCAAUAUAUAGUUGGCACUGGCAAUUUUUGAUGGUCCCUGUGGAGA
rnacentral:snRNA from 1 species